rnacentral:lncRNA from 1 species
GCACAUAAAUUAUUCUUAAAAUAUCUAGACAUUUCUUACAUGUAGAGGAUUUUAAGAUUUAUAUGUUUGUAUCAUCCAUGGAGGAGCAAAUAUAUUUUAGAUAAUGCUCAACGUAAGACUUCAAACCAUUUGAUGUUUUUGUCGAAUUAUUGAUGGUGUAGACUUGCCUUUCAAAUGAAAUUUAAAUUAUGUUGUCUAUACUUUUUGUGUGUAUAUGAACUAAUUUUAUUAUUUUUUUGCAACAUCAAAGAUGAGAGUUGGAAAUUGUAUUACCUCAACAUUGUUUAUUUUUGUUUUGUUUUGUUUUGUUUUUUUUUUUUUUUGUAAAUGGAGAUGGUUGUAUUGAAGGUUGUUGAUGGAUAUGAUACUAUGCUACACAAGUGAAUAUGAUUGCAUACAAUACUAUUGAAUAUGGUUCCAAAAUUUGACUUUAGUACAUCCUAGAAUGACUUAGCUCAAUUUUUGCUUUUUCAUGGUUAAACUUUAGGAGUAAUUCCUUGGACAAAAUUAACUAAUUUUUUGCAUAUUUUCAGUGACAACAACACAUGAUCAACUAGUUUAAUAUUAUAAAAUCUCCAGGCAAGCUUAUUAUGUUAAAAUUAACACGAUUCAUAAAAAAUAAUCCUCAAAUAGAUUAGAUAAUUUAAGGUAUUAAUUUUUUUUCUUACCUUAUUUAAAAUAAAAUAAAAUAAUUAAUUUUAUAACUAAAAACUUAAGCGUCUAUUUGUAGAACCCAAGGCAUUUGUGCAAGCCCCAACAGAAGGGGAUCAUCCACUCCUAACAAAACACCACAACUCAGAACAACUUUGGCCACCAGUCCACGUCGACGGUGCCGCAGCUCCAACAGUGAAUACAAACAGCCGUCAACAACAGCUGCAAUAUUGCCAGAGAACAACACCAAGUUCACAAAGGACCGAGCAGCAACACGAAUAGGAGCUCUAGCAGCGGAACUCGGCACUAUGGAAGUUUCCUGCGAGAAGAAGAAGAAGAAAAAAAAAAACACUAGAACCAGUGUAUUUCGUCGACACCACCACGACGCCACUGAAUUCUCACGCAAACAAGACGACAAGUACACCGGAAUGAAGACGAUGGUGGACUUGCAGCGACGUCAAGCCGCACCGCCACGGAAACAUCAACGAGAGGAAAAAAUAGAAAGAAAUUUUGUCGACCAUUACCAGUGGUCGGCGGCGCAACAAUAGAACAGUAGCAGCAAACAGAGGAUUCGAUGCUUCCACCGCGAAACCACUAGCGAAAGAGAAACACACGAAGCCGCCGCAACCCCCGCUCGGAGAAAGACUUCUUAGCGUGCACACUGCAUCUAACCACCGAAAAGACCAACACCAGUGAACGGCAUAGCGUCAACCACCACCGACGACGCGAUUCAAAACAAAACAAUAAUGCGAGGAAGAAAAAACAAGGGACGGCGCAAAAACAAUCCGCCUCACGCCACACGACAAGAAUAACAGAGAGCGAGAGGGAGAAAAUCCCAGAGCACACAAAAACUCAAACCACAUUCCACGACUCCGAGGAAUCUGAAUCUUCUUAGCCGCAGCCGUCAUCCUUGGAAGACAAAGACUUAUUUACUCUGCAACCUCUUCCUCCUUUUGAAUAUCCUUCUCCAUUGCCACGACAUCCCCGUUUCACAAAACCUACCGCAGACCAUCACAAGCGAGCAAUUAAAAACGGACGAUGGAGGAGGGUUGUCAAGGGCGAACAAAAUCAUGUCCACCAAGAUAGCCUUGUCCGCAGCAUCCUUCUCACUGUCCGGCGCGUCAAUCAGAUUCACGCCCGUUCUCUGGCAUCAUUCGCAAACCUUCUUGGGAAAGCGAUUAAUAUCACCGUACACAGAGAACAUAGUGACAACUCCAACAUGAGGGUGCUCCCGCAAAGUAAUCCUGAUAUUGCCAGCAACACAACAUUCACUUCCCUUGACAUAGGACAAUUUUCAAUAUCCCACUGAAUAACUACAGGACACGAAUUGGGAUUCACCGGAGCUGCAGCUCGAAUCUGUUGCUGCAUGAUAUUCGCUCGAGCAAUUGCAGCACUGUCCGUCCCCGGUGUCUGUCUAGACGGCGUCAAAGAUCGAGAAUAAGUCGCCAUUGUGUAAUGCAGAAGCUCCGACAGAGUGAUAUGAAAGCCCCCUUGAUAUGAUUCCAGCAAGAAUUACCAGUUGGUUCAAAAGUUCGGGACAUUUACUAUGCACCGAACCCACCAAAUAACCGACACACGGAGUGAUCAAUUAAUCCCACUUUCACCUGUUAUACAUGUUGACGGGUAUAUUCAGAGCAAAUCAUCUCUGGUCUAAGAGACAGAAAGAGGAGCGAAAUUCUCAUUUUUCAGAGAAGCAGAACGAAUGGCAGGUUGGGUUCAAAUGAGCAACAAACACGAAAAUAAGUUUCUCUUGGCACAAGAUCAAACAUCGGCGCAUGAUCUUAAGUAACGAUGACUCGUACGAAGAGGGAAUAGAGAAACCACAGUGACAACAGCGCAAAAAUGUGUGAACAAGGAAACAUCGACCCAACAUGCAGAAGUUUUGCCCAGCAAAAGUACCAUAACAACACAUGAUAGUAGUGAAACAGGUAACGCUAGCAAAUAUCGAAAAAGAGACGCCUGUCUAAAAAGAAUGAGUUACAUAGUUAUUCACAAUCAACUGAGAAAUAAUCACCAAAAGUUGGUAAAGAUCGCACCCAAGCUUCUGGUUGGUUUCCUCUAGGGAGAAUUCAUAAAAAGCAAGCGUCUCCAUAUACCAGAUCCCAACUACGCAAAAUUGUACCAAAAUCCAAAAAUUGAAAUUGAAAAUAAAAAACAAACAAACAAACAGCUCGGAACUCUUUCCCCAACUCACCGAUCGCACCAAGACUUCCAAACGCCCAACACAAACCAUUCAAACCCAUAACAAACCCACCAACUGCAUUCACUAAUUAAUUCCCACUCAAUCAUCACUCUGAUUCCAUAGAAUUCGACUCUAACAUCCUCUUCGAUACCCUUAAUCGACCUACAUCUCUGAUCUCCGAGCAUCAUGGUUACCGUUGGACCCCCUGAUGAAACGCUUCAAAAACUCAUUAACCAACCUUAUCUCACACACAUUUUUCUGAAGAAUCUUGCGGAUUUUUUUGUUUCAUCCUAUUUGCUGAUUCUCCCCUAGCGUACGAUUGAUUAAACAGUUGGAGUUGCAAUGAAGAUACUUAUUUGAUCAGCUUCGAGGAUUAUUGGUGGGGUCUAUGCACCUUUAAUACAGAUGAGCCUAGAUGUCAUUGCACUCGAAUCUUUUCACGUCAUCGCUGCUGGCCUGGUGGUUUCUGUUGUCUGCCAUCAGGAAUAGAAAUGAGCACAAUUGGUUUCGAUGACCGCAAAAACGGCACGUCACAGAUAUAGUAUCCCUUCCUCUCCAGCUGAAUGAUUUCUCCACGCUGUAAGUUCCGCAUGUUAGAGUCUCCAACUGCAGCAGAUUCAAUGCGGGUUACAGGAUUGAGGACAGACACGAAGUCGUCAUUCUCCUCUAGCUUUUUCUUGACGAUGAGGUGGUCUAAGUCGACGAGAGUCAGGGGAACCAGCUCUGAAGUCUUAGGAAGCCACGUCAAUUUUAGUUUCGUGGUCUUCACUGAUCCCUCAACAUGAAAUUCUCCCUGAAGACGAGUAAUAAGACCAUAUUGGUCGCGUUCAAUUUUCCUGAUGAAACAAUUACCCCAGUCCAUAAGAGUAACUUCCUCUCCCUCAGACACAGCAGUGGCAUCUGCAUGAUCGAGCCAUAUUUUCUUUGUGAAAACGGUGGCCUUCUUUCCGGCAGGCACAUACUUCUUGUGACGCAGGAUUACCCGAGUGAAAGGAGUCUCCGGACCAUUGCUUGGAUCAAGCAGAACUUUACCCUCGGAAAGAACAGCUGUGUGCCUAGGACAAACAGGGUCGAUAAUCUUCUUGUUGAUAUUCCACAGCUUGUCCCACUCCAUUAAGUUCAGAUUCUUUGAUGCACCCUGUAAUGCACAAAGUGAACACACUUGCUUGAGAACCACUACUGUUAAAAUCAAAUUAGAGUAUCAACGAAGGAGAGUUAAUAACACGCGAUGUAAUAAGUUUUCGCAAAUGCAGCACCUGAGAUAAGAUAAAUUGCUUGAGAGCCUCGAUUGUGAGUCCCCUACGGAUAAUGCCUUGAACAAUCGGAAAACGAGGAUCGUACCGACCUUCCACUCGCCCAUUGUCCACGAACCACUGUAACUUGCGCUUGCUAAGAAGAGUAUAUACGAAAAUAAGACGGCUGAAAUCCCAUACAUGAACCUUCCUUAGUUGCAUGUCUUCCAGGACUCUGGUCAUUCCGAUCAUGGUACUCACUUGACCGAAGGGCAUGAGUAACACCUUCAAUGCUGUCCACGAAAGGGCAUGCGAAGUCAUAUGUGGGGUAGACCUUGUACUUAGAACCCACACGGUGGUGAGGAGUCGGAUUGCAGUGGUAGUAAACAGGGUCUCGCAGAGAUGCAUUAGGGUUACUCAUGUCCAUCUUAGCACGAACACAACACUGAACACCUCUUGUUGAGCCAGCAAUCAUUUCCUUCCAAAGCUUCAGGUUCUCCUCAACAGUUUGGUUUCGAUACUUCGACUCAAUCAUAGCUUCCCUCUCUAGCUGCAUUUGCUCCCGCUCUGUGUCACUCACAUAUGCUUUCCCCUCCUUGAUCAACUUUUCACAUCUCCAUAAGCUGUGGAAAGUAAUCAGAGGUGUACGUUAUCACAUCGCCCUUCACGCCUAACGUGUCCAGAUCUUGCAAGAUACUCUCUACAAACUCAUCCUUCUCUUUCGCCGGAUUUGUGUCAUCGAACCGAAUAAUAAGCCGUCCUUUGUACUUUUGAGCGAAAAAUUGGUUCAGAAGAACUGCCUCAGCAUGCCCGAUGUGAAGGUAACCACUUGGCUCGGGCGGAAACCGUGUGCAUACUUUACCCAUCUCUGCACCAGGCAAAUCCACUUCAAAUGAGCCAUCCACCGUCUCCUUUGCCUCAGCAGAAACCGCUGUAGCAGAGCUGGACUUCGAAACCUCUGGAGCGGGCUUUCCCGCGCCACGCGAAGGCAGGACAUUCGCAAUCGCAGGAUACUGCACAAGAAUGCAAUUGUACCAUUGUACAAGAUUCGGGAAUUUGGCAGACUUUCUGAAACUUUCCCAUCUCGGCCCUGCCUUUGCUAGGUAAGCAACAAUGGUAAUAUCUGCUACAGUGAGAUCAUUGCCAACAAAGUAGGUGCGCAAGGAGAGGUAGUUGUUCGCAUGCGCACAAGCCCCCUCGAACUCAGACCGCACACCAAAGCUAGAUGCAUAACUAAGCCACUCAUCUACCUGCAAAACAACGAGGGUAAGGGUUUAGGGUUUGGUCCUUGACAAACUUCAGUGCAGCUCUAAACAUAAACUUUCAACAAUCCAACAAAAAAUACAUCGACAGGCGACCUUCAGCCCUUCAGAUUUCCAUGACCGACAAUAUGGUGCUCCAAGCAAGGCACUGCAGGAUCUGUCAUACCGAGCUUGAGUGGGACGGAGAACUGCGUCGGCUAUGUGCAGUAUACCCUCGUAUCCGUGAAGACCCUUCGCCGCUCUCUAAACUGAACUGGGUGGGCCUUAAAAUUGAACUGUAGCCAGAAACCUAACUCAACUACGGUACAAUACACCACCACAAUCAACAACCUUGCUUACUUACCUCAGAGGGGUUGCCAACAAGCGCAUGACCUUCGCUACUCUUGAAAGUAUCGAUGAUCAAACUCAGCAACUGCUUCACCUCAGCCAUCGCUCCUAUGUCUCGCUACACUCUCACGCCUUCAAAAAGUUCUGGAGCUUUAACUUACAUGUAGCAGGUGAUCUUGUGAAUUCUAGGACUUGGGAAGCAAGGCAGAGGGAGAAUCAUCAUCCAUCCAUCAGCAUUCAAUCUUUUAUGUUUAUAUUCCCAAUCAAGUUUGGGUGCAAAUUUAAGCGUCAAAAUAUAUGCUGCAAAUCAAGUACAAGUUAUUGGAAACACUCUAAACUCCGAAUAAGCUUAACUACGCUCCGACAAGUUUAGUGGAAUGUGAUGUGGGUUCAAAACGAGCAUAUGUUCCAUCACGUUCCAAAAAGUCUAGAACCUCCCCUCCUGACCCACAAAUAACGGAGGAAGGUGAAUCCAACACGGGGUGCCAACGACAUCUCUUUGCUUUACAUCAGACCAUUUGUAACACUCCCAGGCCUCUUCAUUCCUCUUGACCUUCAUGUAUCCAGCAAAUACAAUCGAAAUUGCAUCGGAAUUUGUGAAAUGGAGCGACUGCCGCGACUGAGCGGUUGUCGCAACACAAAGCUUAGAUAUGGGCGCCAUACCUGCCAUGGCCAUGGGAAAGCUUCUUAAUCCACGUCUCACUUCCUCCUUCCAUUCCCCCUUCUAUUUGUCUCCCUCAAGUUAUUUUCCACAAUGCUUCACAAUCAGCUCUUCUUUCUGCACUUUUCAAUUGAAAGGUGGCGCCCGGCUGAUGCGCUUUGCUUCCAAUGUGGUGACCGUAAUGGGUGGAUCUGUCGUGGAGAAUCCUCGCAAGUUGUGUGGGCUGUUGGAAUAUAGGAAGGCAACCACAAAGCAUCGUUAGUUUACGUAGGAUAGAUGACGUCAAGCAACCGCAUCUAUCUGGCCCCUGUAGUGAAUCAAUUCAGUUAAUUGGAGUUAAAAUUGUAAACUGACAUUGUUCACAGAACUAAUCAAAUCAUUUUUAUGAAUGGACUCCACUGUUUGUUUCAAGUUGUGUUCACUUUCAUGGUAUCAGAGCAAGGUAGCAAGUCCAUAGUUCUUCCCGAUAGUACCAUGGCUAGAGGAAAAUUCCAGUUGAGUAUAGGGGAAGCCAAUAAGCUAGAAGGAGAGAGUAAUUAUUAUGUUUGGAAUCUGAAAAUGAAAGCACUUCUGCUUUGAGAGGAUACGUGGCACAUCGUAGAAUCCAAAGUCAUACCUGAUUCUUUUCCUACUACGGUUAAUGGUCAAGUUCUGAGUGAAGUAGUAUUCAGAAAAACACAAACAUAAGGCUCACGCAGGAAUCCUCAUGUCCAUCAAAGAUGAGCUCAUAGACAGCGUAGCAGAAAAAACAGAUCCUGCCGAUGCCUGGGCAAUGCUACAGAGCAUGAUUCAGAGUGGUGACCAAUCGCAAAUCCUCUUGUUAACAAAUAAGCUUCAUUCUAUGCAACUGAAGGAAGGCGGAGAUGUAGAAACAUAUCUGCGAAAUGCGGGAGAGUUGCGCAAUAAAUUAGCUACCAUCGGAGAAAAGAUACCCAAAACAAUGAAGAUUAAUAUUGUCAUGAACGGAUUUCCCCGCACAUUUGAAGGUUUGAUUAUGACCAUUAACACCUUGUCAACUCUUCCGUCUUUGAUCAAGUAGUUGGAAAAAUAAUCAACGAACAUCACCAACUUCAACUACGAGCGUUGCAACUAGGCGAUAUCGCCGAGGAAGCACUUGUUGUCACUCAGUGAUAUCAACCACCAUAUGGAGGAAGAGGAAGCUACUCAAAUUGCGGCCGGCUAGGACGCAACAACUUUUGUAGCAAUAUAAGUUAUAAUUCCACUAUUGACAAGAAAUCCAAAUCUACUCUUUUGUCUGCGGCAAAUGAGGGCAUGUGGCCCGAAACUGUUUCCAUCGGAAGGGACCACCAACUUCUCAAUCAGUUAAUUUAAUGACAAAAGAUUCAGAUAUUGAGAUUUCAAUUGAAGCCAAUAGUCUCGAAGUAGAUUUAGCAGAAUUUCAGAACUCUACAGAAUGGUAUAUGGAUUCAGGCUGCAGCAUUCAUGUUACAGGACAGAAACAACUCUUCGAGCAUGUCAAGCCUGUCGAAGAGAAAACAGUGGCCACCGCUGGAGGUGAGACUCACACAAUCCUUGGACAAGGCAACAUUCUGUUUAAAACCGGUAAUGAUGAAAUAAAAGUUACCAAUGUUUUCUAUUCACCGUCUAUCAAACAAAAUCUAAUAUCAGUAGGUUCUCUCAUUGAUACGGGAAAAGUUGUAAUGUUCAUUGCGAGUCACGUAUACAUACUGGAUAAUAUGUUCAGGGGGGAAGUUAUCGCACUCCGGGAACGAGUCAACGUAAUGGAUUGUAUUCAUUUGGUGACUGCGAGCUAUCAAAUCAACAAAUAAAUUACACGACCGUAACUGAUUUGUUGGAAGUGUGGCUGCAAAGGUACGAACAUCUGAACUAUUCUGCCACGUACCACUUAUCACGUCAAAACCUUGUGAAAAGUUUACCCGCUCUACCGCACAACAAGAUAGUAUGCCAUGAAUGCUUGGCAGGGGGACAGCAUUGCAGAACCUUUCCCAAAUUUUCUAAAAACAAAGCUACGGAGAUCAACGAGAUCAUCCAUGCCAACCAAGUAGGGCCAAUAUAUGUUACGUCUUUGAAUACAUCACGUUAUUUUGUUGUUUUUCCUGAUGAUAAAACACGAAAAAGUUAGGUAUAUUUCAUGAGAUCAAAAUCAGAAACAUUCCUAAAGUUUAAGGUUUUUAAAACAAUGACAGAUGCGGCGGUUGGAAAGAAAAUUAGAAUUCUGCGAACUGACAGAGGAGGGAAAUUUUUUUCACAAUCCUUUGCCGAUUUCUUGGAAUUAUAUGGCAUUAGACGACACUUGACUCAAGCAAAAACACCCGCCUAGAACGGGGUUGCUGCACGUCAGAAUCGUUCAUUGAUUGAAAAGGCACGAAGCUUAUUACAUAAAAGCAGAUUACCUAUAUUCCUUUGGAUUGAACUAGUCAAUACGGCAAAUUACUUGAACCAAAGUCCUACAUAGCCAAACAAUGGCCUCACCCCAGUAUACAAAUAUACAAAAUACAAACCGUAUGUGAGUCAUCUCAGCAUUAUAGGCAAUUUUGUAUUUGUUCAUGUUUGGAAGGAUGAUCGAAGGACACUAGAUUCGAAAAUUAUCAAGUGCAUUCUAGUUGGGUACUAUGAACAAAGGUCUAUCGUUUAUACAAUCCAACCAAUAAAAAAAUUAUUGUGAGUCUAGAUGUUAAGUAGAGUUGGCUACAAAACAGGUCACACCCUCUAGCAAACAAGAUCUUGAUAUUUUCUAUCUUUUUUCUACAUCAAUCUGAAAUUCAGAAUUAAGAAGAGCAAAGUCAACAAGAAGCAGAAAGUCAAGCAUGGUACAUUAAGAAUAUCAAAUCUAUUCAACUAAGGACACAAGCUCAAUAUUAUCUCUUGACACAAUACCAUGAGCAAACAACAAAAAAGUCAAUAAACCAAGAGUACAUGUCAUGGACAUAUACAUUUAUUCUAAUAGUUACUUAUAUGAUUAGGUAGAAGUACGUAAAUAUAGAUUAAUUUCAUAAAGUCUUUUAGAGUAACUUCUUAGAAGCUUCGUAGAUGGGGUUUUGCUUUAGAUGUGUUUAUAGGUUAGAAACUUGGCCAACAAGUGAACCAUGUAUUGAUAGCUUGUGGAACAAGUUAAUUCUGUAUAAUAGCUUGUGGAACAAGCUUACUACAUGGCGCAUACAUAGAUAACUUAUUUUGCAAGUUAAAACAUGUGGCUAACAAAGCCAACACAUGAAACUAUUCUUGUAAAAUUAGUUCAGAGUCUAUGGCAAGAAGUUGUACAGUUGAAAGAAACAAGUAGAUCGACUUCACAACCAAAUCCAAAGAGUUUUGCUUCUACAAAUAUGAUGGGGAUAAGGAUUAAUAUGCUUGAGAAGUUUGAUGGAACAAGAUCAAAAUUUCAAGGAUUUUUGUAAUAAAUCAAAUUCUAUCUAAGGUUGCACUCUUUCCAAUAUCCCAAUGGAUUUAUUCAAGUCAAAUUCUAAGGUGUAUUUCUAUCACGAAGUGCUCUCUUUUAGUUUGCACCUUUAAUAGAAAAAGAAUUGCAAUUCCUUUAUGAUUUGAAUUCAUUCUUUGAAGUAUUUACAGCCACCUUCAGAGAAAGUGAUUAAAAAAGAAUGGCAGAGAUCAAGCUCUUAUUUUUAUAGCAAAGAUUAUGGUCAGUCACCAUAUAUACUGAUGAAUUCCAAAACCUUGCUUGCGAUGUGGACUAGAAUGACAAAACCCUUAUUAAUCAUUUUUGAUAUGGAUUAAAGAAUAAUGUAAAAAACUCGUUACUGACAAUGCUAAAGAUAUAAUCUUUGGAACAAUUUAUUGUUCAAGCCAUUGCAUGUGAUAAUCAAUUAUUUGAAAGAUGUCAAGAACAAAGAUAUAGCUAGAAAGAAACAAAUCAAAUAAUGUUGGUAACUCUUAAGUUUUCAAAAACUUAUUUAUGAAAGCCAGAACCAAUGCAAAUUGAUAUGGUACAUUUUAAAUCCCUCACAUAGUAGGAAAAAAGUCGAUGAUGUCAAAAAGGCUUAUACUUAUAUUAUGGAGAAGCUAAACAUAUUGCUUAACAUUAUCUAAAGAAACAAUGCAAUUACAAAAUGAGAAGCAUGAUUGCCAAAGAAGACAAUGUAUCGAAAAACAAGUUACUCCAACUCCAAUAGGGACUGUGCGGUUGGAAUCAUGUACAACAUCUAGCAAAGGUCUUAUUCUCUCAUCUGAUCCUUCAUCUUGUUUUACAAUAGAAGUCUAUUUUGGACCAAAAAAAUACAAAAUAUUAGCCUUGUUGGAUUCAAGAGCCUCAACCUAUUUUAUAAAUGAAGACUAUAUCAAAAAAUAAGAUAUAUUUUUAAUUAAGAAAAUCAAACCUAUGCAUGUAGAAGUAAUAUAUGGAUGUUCAUUAUCUUUUGGGCAUGUUACACAUGAAACUAUUCUUGUAAAAUUAGCAAUUAAAGGUCAGAAUAGUUUAUUAAUAUUUAAUGUGAUUAAAUCUCCCUCUAAUGUAGUCAUUUUAGAAUUAUCAUGAUUAGAAAGAUAUAACUCUCAAAUAGAUUGGAUUUCUUGUAAUCUUGAAUUUUUCCAUAGUUUAGUCUAAGGUCUUGCUAGGCAAGUAGAAAUCUAUAAGUUUAGUAUAUCCAAACUCUUAUUAGUAGGUGCAAAAGCUUUUACAUAUGCCACAAAUGAAGGGCCAUCUUUUGCUCUAUAUGCCAUGCCCAUUAUUCAUAGUGAGAAGAUAUCAAGUAGUCUUCCUUGCCAAUAUCAAGAUUUAUAGGACGUUUCUAAAAAGAAGAAUACAAAUAUUCUUCUAAAGUAUUGUCCUUAUGAUUGUACCAAAAAUCUUCAAGAAUGAAUUCAACCACCAUUUGGACCAAUCUAUAGCCUAUCACAAAAUGAAUUAACUGCACUCAAAGAGUACAAUAAUGAGAACUUGGCUAAGAACUUUAUAUGCCAUUCUAAAUCUCUAGCUAGAGCUUCUAUCUUAUUUGUGAAAAAAAAGAUGGAUCUGUGCGGAUAUGUGUAGAUUAUCGAGGACUUAAUAAGAUCACCAUCAAGAAUAUGUAUCCUCUACUUUUGAUUUUAGAAUUUUUUGAUCAAUUAAAUCAAGAAAAAAUCUAUACAAAAAUAGAUUUAUGAAAAGCAUAUAACUUCAUCCGCAUCAAAGAAUGAGAUGAAUGAAAGACUACUUUUAAAACUAGGUAUGGACAUGUUGAAUAUAAUGUCAUGACUUUUGGACUCAUGAAUGCAUUAGCUACUUUUCAACAUCUAAUAAAUGAUGUCUUUUGUAAGUUUCUUGAUGAUUUUGUUGUCUAUUAUUUGAACAACAUUUUAAUCUAUUCUAAGAAUAUAGAAGAGCAUGAAGUUCAUGUUCAUUAUAUAUUACAAAAACUAAGAGAUAUAAGAUUAUACGCAAAGAUGGAAAAGUAUGUAUUCCAUAUUAUUCAAGUUGACUUUUUGGGAUAUAUGAUUUCCACUGAAGGCCUUAAAAUGGAUCUAAAGAAGGUCCAAACCAUCAUAGAUUAGAAGAUCCCAAAAAUAGUGAGAGAUGUGUAAUGUUUUUUGGGCUUUGUCAAUUAUUACCAAAUCUUUAUCAAGAACUUUUUUCAAGUUGCAGUCCUACUUACACGUUUGACUUAUAAAGACAAACUUGAGUGGAAUAAAGAAGCCAAAGCAUUGUUUGUUGUUUUGAAUAAAGAAUUUACUUCUACACCAAUUUUAUAUCACAUCAAUUUUUCUAAGACAUUCUUUAUGGAAAUAGAUGCAUCAGACUUGGCAUUAGGUGUAGUAUUUUCAUAAAUGGGAACAGAUAAUAAACUCCAUCUACUAGCUUUCUAUUCUAGAAAAUUUUCAGUAGUCAAGAUUAAUUAUGAGAUCCAUGACAAAGAACUUCUUGCAAUUGUAGAUUCAUUUCAAGAAUGACAUCAUUAUCUAGAAGGUGCUUCAAGUCCACUCACAAUAUAUACAAAUCACAAGAACCUUGAGUAUUUUAUGUUGGAACUUAGUUUGAAUCAUUGCCAAGCCUGUUGGAGCAUGCCAUUAUCAAGAUUUGAUUUCAAGAUCACAUAUUGACUUAAAAAAUAACAAGGUUUAUUAAAUAUUUUUUCUAGACGCUUUUAACUUAUACCAAAAGAAGAAGACAUAUCUUUUAAUUAACAAAGAACAAUCUUCUUGAAGCCAAAGCAUUUUCAUCUUCAAGCAAUGAAAUCGACAUUGACUUUUGAUUCAACCUUUGUCAAACAAAUUCAAUCAAGUAUGUUUUCUGAUCUUUUUAUUCAUGAUAUUAAGAAUCUUUCUUCUAAGUCUUAUGAUGUUUCAAAGUUAGAGUUCAAAAACAACCUACUCUAUUUCAAAGAAUACCUAUAUGUUCCAAAAAGAGAAGUACAUUUAUGUGUUCUUCAAGCAUGUCAUUACUUUCCAACAGCAGGAUAUUUUUGAUAUAAUAAGACUUUAGAGCUUAUAUCCAAAGAUUUUUAGUGGUUGCAAAUGUAGAAGGUGGUAAAACACUUUGUUCAAUCAUGUGAUGUUUGUUGAAGAUCAAAAACUCCUUAUCAUUGAUCCUAUAGACUUCUCCAACCAUUUUCUAUAUCCAAACAACCAUGGUCUUCCAUUUCUAUGGAUUUUAUUACAAAUCUUCUAAGUUCAAGUUUAUAUUAGUUUAUAUUUAUAAUUGUUGAUCACUUCACUAAAAUGGUAUAUUUUGUAUUAUGUACAAAAUCUAUUUUAAGUCAAGAAAUAGCUAAGCUUUUCAUUGACAAUAUCUAUUACUAUCAUAGAUUGUCAAAGUAUAUUGUAUCAGAUAGGGGGACUCAAUUUGUAUCAAGAUUUUAGAAAAUCCUAUUUAAGAUUCCAAAGGUAGAUAUAAAGCUCUUUUCAACUUUUCAUCCUCAAAUUGAUAGACAAACGGAAUAAGUGAAUCAAGUUCUUGAGCAGUAUUUGAAAUAUAUCAUCAAUUAUUAUGAAGAUGAUUAGACAAUUUUUUUGCCAUUGGUAGAGUUUACAUACAUUCUUCUACUCAACAAACAAUUUUUUUUGCUAAUUAUGGUUAUCAUCCUCGACUUGAUACUUUUGACUUUUUAAAAGUUGUUAAUCUUUUAGCAAAAGAUUUGGCAAAUCAUUUGUCAGAGUUAUAUGCAACAAUAAAGAUACAAUUAAAAAAAACUCAAGAAUGACAAAAGACCAAUGAAGAUGCCUAUUGCAAGAAGCAACAAAAUUCAAUGUGGAUGAUAAGGUAUGAUUACUUUAUUGCAAUAUCAAGACUAUUCGUCAUUGUGAUAAAUUAGACUAUCGUAGGCUGGGACUUUUUUGCUUUUGUGAACAAAUCAAACCUAUUGCUUAUCGAUUAUAUCUACCAAAGUCUAUGAAGACUUCAUUUAUCUCUUUUUGAGCCAUAUAAGACAAUGAAUAUCUUAAGAAGAAGACAAAUGCCACCUCUUCCUAUAGAAAUUGAUAAUAAUUAAAAAUUUGAGGUGGAAGAAGUCUAAGUUUCAAAGCAACCUUGAAAUAUGUUAGAAUAUCUUAUUCAUUGGUAUGGAUAUAAUAUUAGCAAAUGCACAUGGCAGCCAAAAAAGAAUCUUAUAAAUGCAACAAAGAAGGUUGAGGCCUUUCAUUAAUGACAUCCAUCAAAAUCAAGAUGAAGAAUAGUGAAGAUCCAUAAAAGAUGAUCACUACUCCUCGUGGAAUUCAUCUCUAGAAAGAAGGGUAAUAUCACGGACAUAUAUAUUUACCUCAAUAAUUACUUAUAUAAUUAGGUAGAAGUAGGUAAAUAUUGAUUAAUUUCAUAAAGUCUUUUAGAGAAGCUUUCUAAAAGCUUUAUAGAUGCAGUUUUGACUUUAGGUGUGUUUAUACGUUAGAAACUUGGCCAAUAAGUUAACCAUGUAUUGAUAGCUUGUGAAACAAGAUAACUACAUGGCACAUACAUAGAUAACUUGCUUUACAAGUUAAAACAUAUGGCUAGCAAAGUCAACACAUAUUGGAGGUCCUAUAGAAUAUCGCCACAUAGCUUUUAGUUUGAGAUUAUAUAUGGAGGCAAGAGUGAAGCCUUCUUCAUUCUUGUCAACAUCUUUCUAGUCUUUAGUCUUGUUGCAAGACUUUCUAGUCUUUUUAUUUUUGGCAAUAGCCAUUUUAGUCCAAUAUUAUAUCAUCUUUAAGUGACUAUGUAAUUCCUUUUAGUGACAAAAGAGUAUAUUGAGGAUUUUUUUCUUCGAGAUUCAUGUCCUUGAUAGUACAAGAUCAUUAGUUUUGACAAAUUUUGUGAGUAGUUUGUAGAUCAAACAAAAAUUAAAAAUUAAACAAGAACUUAAAUGAUUAUAUUUUAUCAAACAUAUAUAUAGACUGAGAACCGCAAUCUUAUGAGAAAGUCAUUUUAUAUCUAGAUUGAAAAUCUUCCAUUCAGCAAGAAAUUAAUGCAAUAAAUAAAAAUUAUACAUGAAAAUUAGUCAAGAGACCACAUAGUGUACACACUAUCCACUCUUGGUGGAUUUUAAAAUCAAAAUAAAACAUACUAGUAAAAAAUCUAAGCUAAAAGCACAAAUAGUUGUCUUAGGUGAUAAACAAGUAUUUGAGAUUGACUACUUCCCAAUAUUUUUAUAUUGAAAAUAAGUUUUAAAAUAAUUUUAAGAAAUUCGAUUUGAAGGAUGAUUUUCUAUAUUAUAAAAGAUAUUUAUGUAUUCUAAAAGGUUUAAGGUAAUUAUAUGUAUUUAAGCAUAAUAUGAUUUUUUGAGUACUAGGAUAUUUUGGAUGUAACAAAAUUUUAGACCUUAUUUUAAAAGUUUUUUGGUAGCUUUAAAUGUAAAAUAUUAUCAAAGCAUUUGUUUAUUCUUGGGAUACUUGAUCUUUAGAAAACACUCCAUAUUUUUAAUUAUAUAUACUUUUUAAAACUUCUACUUAUUUAUAAAUAAUUUUUAUCAUUUUUUAAAAUAACCUUUAUAACAAAUAUUUUUAAUUUUUUGCAAAUCUUUUUUUAUAAUAGUAGAUUUUUUAACCAAACUAAUAUAUUUUGUGGCUUUUUAAAAAUAUAAUUACUAUUAAAGAAAUAACUAAAAAAAGUUAGAUAAUAUUUUUUGAUAUCAUAGACUUCCAAGUAAUAUUAUAUUUAUUUUACAACUAUACUUUGAAUCAAGGUUUUAGAUUAGAAAAUUCAACAUAUUUUAGGUCAAUAUUCAAAAAAAAUCAUUUUUUAUAAAAAAAUGGAUAAAUAAAAAGUAUAAAUUUAAUAUUUGAAUAAUAUUUAUACUAUACCAUCAACUAUUAUCAAGAUACUUAGCCAACUUUCUUACCAAUAAUAAAAAAAUUCAUAUAACAAGACAAUACAACUUUUAUUUAAUAAACUUUAUUUUUUGCUAACUAUGAAUAUCAUCCACAAUUUAAUAUCUUUGUCUUUUCAAAAGUUACAAAUUUUGUAACAAAAAUAUUGACAAGUAGAAUGAUAGAUCUUAAGUCAACAAUAAAGAUACAACUAAAUAAGGCUCAAGAACAACAAAAAAAUAAGUAAAUUUUGUUUUAAGAUAAAACAACAUCUAUACAAAGUUGAUAAUAAGAUAUACUCUUACUUUGUUAUAUUAUAAAGACUAAUUGAUCUUGUGAUAUGUUGUAUUAUCAAUAACUUAGUCUUUUUGUUAUUCAAAAAUAAAUAAAUGCAAGAGUAUGUUAAUUAUAAUUUCCAUAAUCAAUAAUAGUUUUCUAUAUGUUCUAUUCAUUGCUAUUAAAUCUUAUUCAUUGAUCAACAUACUAAGAAGAGAACAAUUGCCACUAUUUUUUUUUUUAUUGAAAUAGAUAAUAAUCAAGAGUUAAAAAAAAAAAAAAAAAAAAAAAAACUUGGAUUAAAGGCAGCAUCAAAAUAAAUUGGAAUAUCUUAUAAAUUUGUGCAAAUAUGAUAUUAAUAAACAUAUGUGAGAGCCAUGUAAUAAUAUUAUAUAUAUAUGACCAAAUUUGAUUUGAUUUGAUUUUUUUUUACAACAUGCAAUGAAUAAGAAUUUAAGUCCUAAAGCAACUGAAGUAGUAAAAAUAUUCUUAAUAAGAAUAGCCAUAUUUAUAGAGAUUGAAGUGUAUUUGAAUUUAAUAAACCAUGAAGACAUAUUGCUCAUAGCAUGUAACCACGACUUACAAUUUAUAAUCACCAUUUGCAAAAACCCAUGCAAUUAAAUUCUUUUAAUAACCAUCAAUGAUUUUUGUAAAAUAUUUUUUUCUUUGAAUUUUCAAUUUUCAAUUUUUUUUUAUAAAACAUGAAUAUUUAAAACAUAUGAUUAAUAUAAAAUAAAAUCGAUUUUUUAAUUGUACGAUAUAAAGCCAUUUUGUACCCUUUUUUGUUACAGUGGCUCACUUUAAAUAUAUAUACACGUACACUUCCUAUAUUUUCUUCUUUAGAAAAUCAACCAAAAGUUUUUGAAAACUUUCCAUCAUGUUCAUAGAAUCACACAGCAAGAGCAAAGUUUGACAAUUCAUACAAAAACAAGAACAAAACAAAAAAAUGUUAUUGUUAAAUCUUAACAAGUCCGGAAAUCUUAACAAGUCUGGAACGACCACAAACUACCAAAGGAUUGCAACAAACAAUAAAAAGGCCUGAAAACAUGAGCUAAAAAAUUUGACAACUUGAACCUGGGUCACAGGAAGCUCCACCCAAGUUCAUAAAAUUGAGUACGAAGACACCGAAGGGCAACAGAAAAACAGAAGAAAGAAAGAAAAGAAAAGAAAAAGAAAAAGAAAAAUAGACAAACAAACGCUGCCCAUUUUACCUCUGGAAGUAAACAAGUUGGAGGGAGCCCACAAUCCAAAAUCCAACGAAGGUAAGAACAGCAACAACAAUAACAACAACAACUAUGUCUCGGAAUAAAACAGCCAGGAACAAUAAGGACGCAACGUGGUCCGCCUCGCGGCGAGCAUCCCCACGAGACAGCAGGGAGAUUGAGAAGCUCACCGAUGAAAACAAACACACACACACUAAUGGAGGAAUGAAUGGGUGGUGAGAUGAAUGAAGAGAGAAUCUUCUUAAUCCACCCAACACCUAACUCCUGAUGCUAAUUUUACCAUUGCUAAUACCGCGCUUGUAUCAAGGAAAGCUUCAUAACUUUAUGACAGGUGGUGAUGUCUGCAGUUCUCUCACUCAGUGCAUAUGUAGAAGGAGCGUGCCCCUGGGUUUGAUCUUCCACUAGUUUCGCUUCCCGGCAUAGGGAGCUUGUUGCGUAACAAGUCUGUCUGUGGAACUCGGGUGGGGGGAACUGUAGUAGCCAGCUAAAGGUUGCAGUUUUGCGCACGAGUGUGUGGGUUUUUUUGUUUUUUCUUCAGUUAGGAAGCUUCCAUCGUCGUGGUGAGUGCUGAACUGGUCCGGUGGUUGCGCGUGGGUGGUUACGCGUUCGCUGGUCGGUGGAUUGUUUUGUGCUUGAUGGCCUGGGAGGGGGCAGGUGUGAUUGCGCGAUGCAGUGGAGAGAGAGAGAGAGAGAGAGAGAGAGAGAUAUGCUGUUGAUAACUCGGGUUGUGUGUGUGUUUUUUUUCUGUGCUCUGAUUGACGAUGUGUGCGGGGUUUUUAGCUUGUCCACUGUCGGCUGAAGUGUUAUUUAGUCGUGGGUUUGUAGCGAGCUGCAACUUCUAGUCCGAAUCUUGGUCCUGAGUGGGUUGUAGUGGUUUUAACUGCGUUCCAGGUAAUGAUUUGGAUUCGUCUUUGAGGAGUGUUAGUGCUCGCGUUUGCAAACUGGCAUCUGGAGUCCUUUUGCGUUAAAGAGUUUGAAGUUGGUAAAUUUGGAAACGAGCAAGCCAACACCGACGCAUCACACCUAACUCUAGGCCUUGGAUUAGGGCAUACUGUGAUUGAGCGUGGUCUUCAAACAUUGACGCAUGUAUGCUGUGUAUUUCCAGGGUGCGAAGCUAGAAUUGGAGUUCAUCUAAAAGUUGGUUGAUUCGUCAAGAUGGUGAAGGAUAAGGAGUACUAUAAUGUUCUCGGAGUAUCACCCGAGGCUACACCGGCCGAAAUCAAAAAAGCCUAUUAUGUGAAGGUUGUUUCCAACGUCUUUGUAUUCUCUUGUAAAGCGGUUUUCUAGUAUGCAAUGUUCUUGACCCUUAAUAUUCCUGUGCAAUGCCCAUUAAGAAACGGACAUAUCUCACUAUCUUGUAGACAACUAUAGUCGUUGUCAAAUGAUUGUCAAGUUUACUUUCUCGUGUGACAUGUAGAAAUCCAGAAGGAUUCAAGUCUGUAUUUUUUACCAGUUUUUCGUUGUUCGUCUUGGAACAGGCAAGACUGGUGCAUCCCGAUAAGAAUCCCAACAAUCCUGAAGCUGCUAAGAACUUCCAGGUAUUUUCCAACGCAAACAAUAUCGAAUUGUGAGACUAUGCAUACAAUACCAAAUUAUACUGUGGCGAAAGUUGUGGAUACUGUCAAAGGGGCAGGUUCAAAUACUUUUGCUUGAAAGAUAUCAUGGCAGUGUAGCUAAGAGCUGAGAGUUUUCAGUGCACCUGAUUCUUCAAAUUAUGAGCAUUUGAAGCCAAUCCACAAACAAGUCUUUUGAUGCAGAAGUCAAUUAUCGGAGUAUUAUCUGAAAUGGCCCACCGGGGAUUCCUUCAAAUUAUGGUUUCUAGUGAUGUUAACUGACGAGACUCUUGUCUAUUGUAGAUCUUGGGUGAGGCAUACCAAAUCCUCAGUGACCCAGAGAAAAGAGCGUCUUACGACAAGCUUGGGAAAGUGGGCGUGUCUCAGUACGUUCCUCUUCAAUAAACAAUCGCUCCUACCAUAAUUAAAAAAAUUGAACUAGAACGAUUUUCUGAUGCCAACUGUCAAAUUAAUAUCGUGCCGCACUCAGUGAUAAUCACGUGUAGCCAUUGGCAGUGCAUGACCUGAAUUCUUGCAUUCUGGAAUAAUGUAGGUCUUGGUUUGACGCCCCUGGCUGCAAUUUCUGUAUGAAAAGUGGGAUAAUGUUGUGAGCUUAGCGGGGCUUUUGGUGUGUUGCAGAGAGGCGAUGGUAGAUCCAGCAGCAAUUUUUGGCAUGCUGUUUGGUAGCGAUGCUUUUGAAGAGUAUAUUGGUCAGGUAUAAUCUUAUUCUCAUCAUGUUAUCUCAAUCUGUGUGUGCUCUAGGAGUUCACAAUAUAAGUAGGGUGAAGCUCAUCUGGAAAAGACUGGUUUGGCGUAAGAUUUGAUGUGGUAUUACAAAUGAAUCUUCCUUGUUCUUGAUUUUCUAAGCCGAAGCAGUUGAGUGAAGACACCCUCACUCUUUUCCCCUAUAACAGAAGAGUUUGAGUUGUGUAAUGGUUAUCUGCAUUGCACAUAAAAGUAAAUCGAGAUUUAGUAGAAGCUUGCGCUGUACUGAUUGUUUGCCCCUCGUGGUGUUGCUUCUUGCGGCAGUUGGCAAUCGCGGCAAUGACUGGAAUGGAAAUGGGUGGUGGUAGUCAACCGGUAGAUGUAGGGCAACUCCAAGCUAAGUUUAAGGUGAUUACCUACUUCUUGUUUGAAAGCUUCGUCUUGCUUAUCAACGGGUUGUGUAGUGCCAAGUUGACAAUAGUGUGUGAUUGUUCUCUGGUUUGACAAUCGCAGUCUUCUUCAACAACAUUCGUUCGGUUUGUGUCUUAUGCAGGGGAUUCAAAAAGAGAGAGAGGAUAAGCUUGUCCAGAAUUUGCUUCAGCGACUUGAAACCUAUGUCAGUGGGGACAAGCUGGAAUUUGUCGAGCGGGCCACAAAAGAGAGGGAAAGGCUUAAAGAGAAUUGUAAGUUCAAGAGCUGGUGUUAAAUACUCUUUAUAUUAGUUGCUGUUGGCGUCUGUCAUCUGUCUCCAUGCUACGCUUGGUCAAUUCUACGAAAUCAGAAUGUGAGUUGGAAAUGUGGUAAAUAGUGACGUGGGUCUGGUGCAGCUUUUGGAGAACCCAUGUUGCAGACAAUUGGAUAUGUGUAUCAGAGGCAAGCUGCUAAAGAGCUUGGGAAGAACGUUUACUUCUUGGGAGUGCCAUUCUUGACGGAGUGGUUUCGUAGCAAAGGCCAUUUCAUCAAAUCUCAUGUUACCGCUGCCUCAGGUUUUAAUUUACAACCCUACUUUAGACCUAGGAUUGUGUGUAUUGAAGGAGAUAUUAGCUUAGAGAACUCAUGUGAUUGGAAUGAAACGGGGCUUUUAUUGCAUUUGCUAUUUUGAAAGUUCCGUGUUUACACAAGGUUUUUGUGACUCUUGUUGAAAUGAGCUUGGUUUGGUUUCUUCGUCAUAAAUUCUUGAAUAGUGCACAUCUCAUUAACCAAUUUUCUGCGAGGCACGUUGAAGACGCAAGUGCAGUUUUUGUUCGAUGAUCAGUACGAGUGUUAGGCCCCCACUUCAACAUCACCUAAAAUGUUGCGGUUCGCGUGCAGGUGCUGUUCAUUUAAUGCAGUUACAAACGAACUUGAAAAGACAAAUUGAGGAAGGAAAGAUGGAGCAGGGAGUCGAGGCGUAUCUUGAAUCUAACAAAGAUGUGAUGGUUGAUAAUUUGUGGAAGCUUAAUGUAGCUGAUAUCGAGAAUACGCUUACACGCGUAUGCCAACGGGUACCUACUUGCCUCAAGCACCGCUUAUCAAGUUUAUGUGUAUGAUGGAUGCAGCGGGUUUUAAUUGAUGUGGUGAGUACUUUUAAAGCGGAGUAGUCUGAUGGGAUACAAGCUGAAAGAAAUGGGCACUUCUCUGCCUCCGCUAAAUUGCGCAAUUCCAUCAAUUUACCAACCGUGUAAAUCUCAUUAUCAAAUGAGAAUACUGACUUCUCAUUUAUGUGCGCAGGUUUUGCACGAUCCACUUGUACCCAGGGAGGUUGCCCUGAACCGUGCAAAGGCGCUCAAGAAGUUGGGAGCAAUUUUUCAGGUGAGUGAGAAUACUCGGAUCAGAUGAUUUCUGCAAUCGAGCCGAUCUAUCUAUUCGGUGCCAGUGAUAAUUUUAGUCAACAGGGGAAUAUGGAAGCUGUUCAAAUCUUAUCUUGGGUCGAUAUUACGAACAGGUUUAACCAUUCGGCACAUAUUGUAUUCUCGAAUGGUUCAAAUUGUUCCCUGUUUGAGUGCGGCAAGAUGUGUGAAUGUGGCUACAAUCUCCAAACUGUAGUUCGUCGAAGUAUUUAACACAAGUUCUGUUCUUGCUGAUUAAAAAUCGUGUGUGAGCAGGGGUCAAAGCCGCAAAAACUUGUUGCUCAAACAGGAGAUCAGAGUGGUUCCCCAAGGACUGUCAAUAGUCCUCCCGGUGAUCAUGCAGACAAUACAAGAUCUUAUUCCAAGUUCUUUUCCAAACCUUCUGGAUAUGCUUCCACUACGAAUCCCAGCUUGAAUACUUGGGUACGUCAUUAGACUUGGCGUGUACUCCGCACCACAGCUUGCCUCUUGAAUUUUUGAAUGACUCAAAUUUGCACUUGAUUUGUAUUACUCUUUUUAGGUCAUAAAUCGAUUGAUUAUUACACGUGUUUUUGUCUCUUUUGCAUCAGCCUACCCCAGCAGCUCCUGCAGGAGUGAAGCCUGGACCAUCGUCUGGAGCGGGACCUCUUUGAGUCUACGUAGUGUUCUGUAAUCUUGUUGGUAGAGGUACUGUGAAUAAUUUUAACGUUUUAUUAAACUCAGAUUAUUCAGUUUGGGCUAAAAAUCAAGGCGUUCUGUAGAAGCAUGACGCAUGUACUCUGUAAACAUAUGCAUUUCUAUUACCUGGUUCACUCCUUUGUCUUAUCUUUGUCGUAUCCGAGGGUCACACUUAAGCAGUAAAGACGACUAUUUUUGUGAAGAAUUUUUUUGUCGAGAUGCAUGCGAGGAGUAAUCGCAAAGUCAGAACGUGAUUUAGGCGACAGCCAUACUGUAUUCUGUUAUUGAUGAUAUACGAGUUUGUAUGCUCAACGUCAUAUAAGAUGUGUAAUAAUGCAAGCACCACUGUCUUCAGCUCUAAUUUUUGCAGUUACGCUGCCCAUGUCGUUUCUAUAUCAAAUGGCUUGUGAAGUCGGAGUUUUUGUGUUGUAAAAUUGCGUUGCUUGGCCAUACUCAUUCCUUCCCAUCGUCGUCAAUUGUACUAUCCAUCUCUCCAUUCAACAUUCAAACCCUUCACGUUCUAAACCUCCGGAAUCGUUUAUGUAGAAACACAUGCACAACCAGAUCAUACUUUUGGAUUAUUUGUUGACCAUUCUCAUGUUCAAAAUCUCCACAAGCUUCUGCAAAUGGAGAUUGGACCGCAUAUCGCAACCGCGUAGAGACCUUCUGGCGCCAAUUGUAAACGAGUCCAGCAGAAGGGAGUGUAGUUCACCUUUUAUGUGAGGUGAUUGUUGUUAAACACGUGGUGGGUUUGGUCCCCUUCACAUUUUGCCCACCGCUUUCUCUCCUGCACCGCACCUUUUGCCAAACUUGAGGCCGGAUAUAAAGCUACGAGAAUGACUAUUUCAAUCAAUCCCCAGCAGGCAGUUCCAUGAGCUCGUUUACAGUUCCCGGUAUUCAUUGUGUAUUACUGCGCGUCCCACAUAUUGAUUCAGGUGGGUAGGUUUUACCAUCUCUUCGCCUUUGCUCCACCUCAGUUUUUGUUUCGUCGCCCUAUUCGUCCAUGUGGUUGCAUUUUGUUCCACACUCCAAUUUGUUGGAAUUAAAAUUUAGCGACCAUCUGUGCAUUGAGUUGUCUCUUGCCUUUGCAAAUUAGAAGAAUGUUUUGAACGAAUUCUGGUUCAGUGUUGAAUUAUGCUGGACGGGGAAGGAAAUUAGUGGUAAACCUAAGAAGCAAUAUAGGUGUUUACUCUGCGCGUUUGAUUCGAGCGUCCAUUCUGCAGGCAGCGAUUGCACCAUUGCAUUGCACCACGUAAAUUGAGUUGAGUCGAACCAAGGGGGGAAGGAAUGGAGACGAUGCAGUGCGCAACUGCGACGACAACGGGCAUUGGGAGCCUGUUACUCCGCGGAGCUGCUAAAGGUAGGUCUUCGCGUUCACGAGGGAACCACAUGCGAGUGGUGAUGAGGAGCGGCACUACAGCCAAUAGCAAUCGUCUCUCGUUGCUGCAGGCUCUUUCUCAAACGGCUGCUGUGCAGUCUCAACGCUGUAAGCUCUUCUCCUCUGUUACUUUCUACAUUUCUUGCGAACAUACUCUACCUCGCACGGGUGGGGUGGGAAUAGCGAUAUGCAGAGGUGAUUUACCCAAAUUUGCAGCCAGUUUGCUUCUGAAUCUGAUCCUUCUCUGGUUCUCAAACAGCUCUACAGAGCCUGAUUUCGGAUAUUACUAAAUACGUCAAUCCCCAAAUGUCUAAGGACGCAAGGAACUUGGAGGAGGCUCUGAUGAGUGGUAAGCAGCUACACAACGCUUCAUAAUGGUUUCCUGGCUUUUUUAGUUGGUGUUGCUGUGAAGCACGUACUAAUUAAAAAAAUUCUUCAAGUUGCGGCUCCUAUUAUACAACUUAUCUCGUAAUAAUUGGCUUUGUAGUUAUUUAUCUGCUUGCCUUUAUUUCGAAACCAUAAUCUGUAACAAAUCGUCAACCUUUGUAAUUUCAUUAUCUUAUUUAUCUAUCUUGAGAUCCCGUGGGCUUUGUUCCAGUGCCUGAUUUGGAGACCAUACCCUAUGAUCUCGUUCGGCGUGAAGCAGACUAUGAAAUCCGAGAUGUUAGGGUAAACCAUCAUCGCUUCCCAAAAGUGGUUCUACAUCGUUGCCUCACCUAUAACAAUCUUCUUCUUCUUCUUUUUUAAUAAUAUGACCGGGGAUUAAUUUGAUAAGGAAGAAGCUCGUAAAUUAGUAUUGUGUUGACGGGGGAUUUCUGGUGCAUGUGCUCGGGGUGAUUCUGGUCAGCCACAUGUAGUCGCCGAGACAACAAUGUCUGGGCGUAGUGGCUUUGAUUUCGCCAGCUCUGGUCAAGCCUUCAACACACUCGCGGCUUAUCUCUUUGGCAAGGUAUAGAUACAUUUGAAGUAGCUUACCCUUAAAUGAGUAAUACCUUCUUCAUGUGAAUUCCUGGAACUGCAAGAUAACUCUAUUGACUCAAUGUUGAUUUUGGAGUAAUAAAAUUCUACAAGUGGUAAGAAUUCAAAGUAAUUGUCAAGUUCGGCAGUUUAUUUUCCCAAGCAUGUUGAUAAGUAUAGUUGUAUAACGCAGAAUUCAAGGCGGUCCGAGAUGUCAAUGACAACACCUGUGAUUACGAACAGAGGUCAGUCGAGAGGAGAGAAAAUGGAAAUGACCACUCCUGUGAUUCAACAGGUACAAAUAAAUCCAGAAUUUCAAACCAUUCACUUCAUGUAUCAAUUCCACUUCACCUGCAGAUAGAAGCUGAAAAAGUUUGAUGGUAGUCGGCACUGCAGUAGGGCAAACGAGGGUAAUGAGGAUUGAUGGUGAGGAUGUGUAGAGGGGCUCAGGAGACGAGCAAUGGCGAAUGUCCUUUGUGUUACCAGCCAAGUACAACAACGACGCGCCAGUGCCAGAGGAUUUAUCAGUGUCCAUUCGCAACAUUCCAGGGAAGAAAGUAGCAGUGAUGGUAUUUUCAGGAUUCGUAACAGACGAUGAAGUCAAGCGGCGGGAGCAAGCAUUGCGCAGGGCACUGCUCAAGGAUCCAGUGGUGCGUGUCAAAGCUAAUGCACAGCCCGAAGUGGCGCAGGUACUAGAGCUUUCAAAUUUUCUAAUACCUCAUUUCGACUCUGCGACACUGUUGUUUUGUUUCGUUAUUUUUAUUUUUGUUCUCUAAAUUGUUUUAUGUUCAUUGAUGCUUUUGCCUUGAGUGAGUGAUUGUGGAUGCUAAUAUAAGUUUUGUGGGUGAUGUUACAGUACAACCCUCCAUUCACCUUGCCAUUCAUGAGGCGCAACGAAUUGGCUCUGGAGAUUGAAGACGUGUUCACCAUCAAUGUGGCCUCACAGUGAAGAUAAUGUUCAGGUGUGAUUAUUACUGAUGUUUCAUUAAGCAACGUUGUACAAGAUCGGAUACCCCUUGCACCAAGUAAGCUAAUUUUGUUUUUAGUGUAAAAUUCUAGCGAGAAGUUUGAGCUGCACGCGCUUUUUUAUUGCUGCCUCCUAUGUAUUAUAUCCACAGUUCAAAACAGUUUGCCUAAUGUUAACCAAAUGUUUUUGGGUCAUUUCUUGUGAGGUUCGCAACGCUGCUCUGAAAUUCUAAGUUAUUUUUAUGUGUUGGUUGGGAAUGAGGUGUAGGUCUUUCAGUUUCUCAUUUCACACACAUGGUCAUAUUGACUUGCUGGAAAGGCAUUAAAAAAAAAAAUGGAUGAUAAGAAUGCGGAAGCUUUCAUCCCUUGUUGCAAUCUCCAAUAGUCAAAAAUAUGUGCUCGUUGAUUUAAUAGAUUGAUAUGGUUUUCAAUAGUUAAACAAGUGUGAUAUCAAUAUUGAAAAACACUGAUAAAAUGUUCAUCAGUUACCAAUGCUCAACGGUACACACAAAAAAAUUCAAUAGAUAUUAGAAGAUUGCAAUAAUUCAUUUUUAUUUCAUAUGGUUUGGAGUUAUUUCGGAAGCUGCAAUGAUACAAUCGGUUUUCAAAUUAAAUGUACAAACGAUAGCUAUUAAAGAAAUCCAAUAAUCAAUUCUAUUCCAUACUAAAAGAAUAAGUUAAUAUUAAUAUUAAAAAUAAAAAUAAAAUUGUAUAAAAUGUUUUGAGUAUUACAAAUAAAAUACUAAUUACAUCAUAUCCCACAAAUAAAUUGCCACUUUAUUCUUCAGUAUUCAAAAUGCCCUUGUUUACAAAAUCAACCAUGUAAAUUGUUAUUACAUCAAGUUCUGUACACAGUCUUGGAUUACUUUCGAGUCAAAUCCUUAACCAAAAAGGUAUGAACUUUGAAAUCAUCACAUGUAGUAAAAGCCCCAAUUGUAAUGAAAUGACAUUAUUUGCCCACAAGAAUGAGCACUGGUGUUGUAAGCAAAUACAACAGAUUAAGAUUCUCAUUCGUUUUGAUGUUCUCAUGUAAAUGUCACCGUAACUCUAGGUCUUCUUACAUGAUGUAAAAACGUGAUCAGAAUACAAAUUGUGCAAUUCGAAUUGUAUAUAUAAGGUUGCACGAUUCAUUGAUAAUGAUCACAUGUUCAGUACGUAAUCUCUGCGUUAAUAUACAGAAUAACAUAAAAAUUGCUAAUUCCCAAAAUAAUUUGAUGAGUCAGCACGACAUAAAAAUUAUUUAGUUUAAGUUGUUAAUGAAUAAAUUAAAUCCACACAUUAAUUUAAUCGUAUGUACAUUACGUGUAGAUCAAUCAGAGCUGCAACAUGCAAGUCGCUCUUCAUAAACAAGGAUAGAACAAUGAUGCAACACUGCUCGACAAUUGUAUCGCCUUGCUCGAAUGUCUACCACCUUCAUUGACAGCUAUGGAAUGAACUAGAAGAACAUGCGUGAAACGG